AUCGUUAGUUGCCAGCGGGUAAUGCCGGGGACGCUAGCGAAACUGCCGGUGUAAACCGAGAGGAAGGUGGGGAUGACGUCAAAUCAGCACGGCCCUUAUGUCCAGGGCUACACACGUGUUACAAUGGCCGGUACAGAGGGCAGCUACCUGGAGACAGGAUGCGAAUCUCGAAAGCCGGUCUCAGUUCGGAUCGGAGUCUGCAACUCGACUCCGUGAAGCUGGAUUCGCUAGUAAUCGCGCAUCAGCCAUGGCCGCGGUCGAAUACGUUCCCGGGCCUU
rnacentral:rRNA from 1 species